rnacentral:lncRNA from 1 species
GAACUAUGAAGCAGGACACAAUACAAGGUGGCGUUGGGUUGAUGAAUUGAGGCACUGAAGUGCCGAUUGCUUUUUAAUGGGCUUCAUUCAAUUAAACAGAUACUUAGCUGUUGACGUACCUCUCUGUGCAGCCAAAGGAAAACCAUGGCGUUCUGACAAUAUCCUUCUCCCCUUCCAAAAGCGAUUUUGAGGACAAGAUCACAGCCGUGCUGUUUCCCAUCUCCCCAGAUGGCAGUGAGUGGACCUGGAGGGGACCCCUGGGCCGCCUGCAUUAAGUCCAGCUCUGCGUUUGCUGGGUGGGGCGCGUCCUCAUGCUCUUCAUCAUCUGUUCGGUGGCAGAACCCUUUGCCAGUCCCCUCGAGGCUCCUGAGAGGCCAAGGCGAGGACAACCUCUCUGUGCACUGUCACAGGCUGGGAAUGCCUCCUCCGUGGAACUCCCAGCAUCCCCCAGGGCUGCUCCCAGGCCCAUCCGUUCCAGCAGCGUUGAUGCUUUGGCGGGGGCUGUGUGGACCCCCACCCCUCAAACCAAUUCCCAACUGUAGGAACUGCCUCUAGCGCAGGCACCGAGCCCUCCCAGGCAACGGAGCAGUCAGUGCUCGCAGAUGACACCUCUUCCCUCGGGCUCCUGCACUCGGGCCACUACCCACCUGCCCGGCUCACCCAAGGGCUAGAAGUGGACAACAGAGGGGCAGCCCCUGUGCCCCAGAGCCCACUGAAAUCAUUCAAACUGUUCCAAAAGCUCAGUCCUUGUCCCCAAUGCCAAUCUAAUAACAAGGAUGAGGUUUUGAGAAAAAGGGAAAAGAAGGUUUAUUGCUUUGCUAGCAGAAGAGAAGCACAGGGGACUCCUGUCCCGGAGGCUGUGAUUCUGCCAUCAGGGAGAACCAGGGGCAUUUACAGAGGUGAUCAGAGAAAAUGAGAUUAGGGAGGAGAGAUCAGCAAGGAGAAGAUCAGGGAGGAGGAGGUUGGGAAAAAGGAAAAAAAAAAAAAACAUGUAAGUUUAAGCCACAAGGGAGAUAGUCGAAGCAUCAAGUGAA